AGUAACGUCUAAAUUAACUUUUUUUUGCUGAUGAACUGUAUAAAUGAGUGUCUAAUAGUGUUUUAAAUGUGUGUAUUCAUUAUUUUAGCAUUUUGGUGCAUUUUCUUAAAAAAUUAAAAAUUCUGCCUAAAUACCACAGUAUAGCUCCACCUUCAGCUUAAAACAUAGAAUUUGACUCAUUUUGAAUAAAUUUUAGCCAAUGGCUAAAGAGUAAGAUACUACGUAAUCCAGUAGAGUACUACGUAGCAGCUCUGUGUCAACGUUAUAAAAGCAUCGGGAGUCUCGGCCACGCCUUGUGGCGAGUUGGGAGUUGGAUUUGCAUGAGAGUGUAGGAGGCUAGCCGUAGUUCAGCAUUAGCAUAUAGCAUUAGCAUAUCCUAGUCUUUAGCAUAGCUUUUAGUGUUAUACAUACUUAUUUAGUGUUAGCUUGGCUGUUGGAUAUUGUAGUUUAGUUACUGUUUGGCUGUUAGUGUAAUUAGGAAAGUAGUUCGGGUUUAGUGCUCCAUAUCGUGUUAGCAUGGUGAGAUGGUGUAGUGUAGUAUGGUUGCGGAGCUCUGUCGGGUUGCACUCCUUUCCGCUGGACUUAGAAAUUAGGCGCCAGUGGUUGCGUGUCUGGAAAAGAUUCAGCUCCCGCCUGGUGCUGUAGUUUGCAACCAGCAUUUUACCCGCGAUUCUGCACGUCUCCGUUCCAAGAGGGAGGCUGUGCCCACCGUGGCUCUUCCGCGAUUUAGAUGCAGCCCACCGACUCUGCUCCCCCACCAUGACGGGCUACAGUCUGAGGCUAAAUCUACCCAAGACACUGGCUGUCAGACUGAUUUAGUAAUCUGCAAGAAUGCACUUGUCCAGGCUGACGUGGUGUUACCCGUAGCAAAGAGCUCACAGCCUCAGUGUCUUGUGACACAGGGACCAUGACAGAAAUUCAUCUUCCAGAAGGUCCCAGAGCAUCCACACCUCCUGAAAAGACCACGGUGUGAGGUGUCUGCUGUUGAUUCCAGCUUCCACCUCAGUGACAGUGCAAGCUCAGUGAACUGUUCAAGGAGGCUACUGAUUCUGGCCCUGUGACACUUGGUGGUCACCACCAGGUGGUGACGUGUGAGCUGAUUCACCUGGACACUCAGCAAAAUAUGGACUCUACACCAUGAGGCAGGCACACGUUAAUAACUCUAAGAGCACAUAAGCCUGGCUGAUCACCUGAUAACUCCUGUCAUCUGGUUAUGACAGCAUGAGGAUGUCCUCACACACCUGUAACCUAUCAGCUCAUCUGGCAGAAUAGAGAGAGAAGAGACAACACCACAUCUCCUGUUCCUGGAAAGCCUUCAGCCAUCCUUUGAUGACUGAGAACCUCCAUCAGCUCUGUCUCCUGUCUGCCUACAAUUAUUAUAAUAAAUAUUGUGUUUGACAAGUU